rnacentral:lncRNA from 1 species
GCCACACAAUGCUGUCCCUGCAUGCUGUCAUGUCUUUCCCAAGACAAUGAUGGCUCUAUCUUCCCAAUGUGACUCCGCGCCCCUGAGAAGAACUGUGCUAACAACAACAUCAACAGAGCCCAGUAUUACUGGGGAAGAAGACAUUUGCCACAGUUCAGCUGGCUCCAAGGAGGCUGUGAGUGACACAUAUUCUCCUCAGUGCCUUCAGAGGCGACUUGGUUUUGUUUUUUAGAAGAAGGCAGUCAAGAAGAAAGAAAAAAAUGGAAUGAUUUAUGUAGCAUUCUGAAAAUGUUACCCAUCAAAUCCUGGAAAUCUCUGAAACGUUUAUGGUGCUGAAGAUGAUGAAUGUUGACCUUCCUCUUCUGUCAUCUUCCUCUGGCUGUGAUAAGACAUAAUCGUUUCCAAACCAUGCCACAUCAGAGAGUAACCCAGGACCGGCUUUCCUAGCCUUAUCCACAUCCAACCUCAGGAGAGACUGUGAGCAAACAAAUCUCAGAUUACACACACUAACAGGUGGGUCUGCCAAAGAUGCUGCUGACUUCUGGGACCCAAUUUCUUUCAGUCCAGGGCCAUCAUGACAAGUGACUCUUGGAGAACAUUCUGCCACGACACCUGCCUGGUGCAACACAGGGUCUUGCAGGGCAGAGCUGGCCAUAUGAACAAAGGCGGGCUUUCAGAGGGAGGUGGCACUGUCUAUACAAACUGCUUUUAAAGUGGGAUACAGUCCCUCUGUAGGGAAAGCUAGCUUUCCCCAUGCAACCUUGAAGUUUUAACCACUGCAGUACCCUCCCUCUGGCCCUUGGUCCUCCAUUGAAGCAAAGCAUUUGAGACCCUGGCUGCACUUGAGGCUCACAAAGCUCCAUUUUAAACCAGGAAGGGCACACCCGGGCAUGGCUGCUGUAACGCACAGCCAGAGAAUGGCUAAGGGAAUGGAGAGGUUGGAAACUCCAUCUGGGAACACUCAGCUCAAAGCUGUUUGCCCCAUUGGCCUCUGUAGAAUCUGCCCUGGUAACUAAGGCAGGCCAGCCUUUGAAAGUCAGGGGAAAGACAGCCCCGGACUCUUGAGGACCCAGAGUAAACUCACAAGGUCUGUGAGCCAGGCACCCAGUGAACUAGAGUUCUCUGCCAUCUCCUGAGGUGACAGGAAUCUGUACUGGGAGCUAUGCUAAGGCCUUUUGAGUUUUAAUUGUCUUAUAAUUCUUAGCAUCAACCUGCAAGGAAGGUAUUAAUGGGUGCUUUUGUAGAGGGAGAAACUGAGGCUCAGAAAUAGGAAACAAUUCACCCAAGGUCACACAGCUAGGAGGAGAUGUAAGUCCGACCUGUUCUGAAGCUGGAGCCAGCCUGGAGAGGAACCAGGCAGCAAUUACGGAAGUACCAAGUACAAGCGUAAGUCAAAAUAAUUGCUGCUGAAGCAGGCUGUCUCAGAAAAAAAUCUUUAGUGACAAUUCCUUAAACAGAAGAGGAAGAAAAAUAAUUUAGAAUUCUUGAUGACAUUUUGGGGCAGAGCUUCAAAGUUCCCCAAAUAAGUAGUGAAUGCCAUCAAAAGGACACCGUGGAGUGGCUGAAUCACAGGCGCAGGGUGCCAAGAAUGAGCAGAGAGAAGAAGACAUUUGACACUAUGCUCUUUGGAUUGUUAACAACAUCUGAAAAUCUCUCUAAAUCAGCACAUUUCCUAGACAGCUGCAAUCCACUCUGGGAAGCCUGUCAGCCACCGAUUAAUUCCCGAUCAAUGAGAAACCACAUGACAGCAAAUAAACCAGGCCACGCCUGGGAGGUUUGUGGGCCUGGGGUCAAAUCAAAGGCUUACCCUUUCUGAGUAGAGUUCAAAACCAAACUCUGAGCUAACGAAACCAUUUUCAUUAUAAAGAACCCAGCCUCAGGUGUUUUAUUAUAGCAUCAGAGAAUGGACAAAUACAAGGACC